rnacentral:rRNA from 1 species
AUUGAACGCUAGCGGCAUGCUUAACACAUGCAAGUCGAACGGCAGCACGAGGAGCUUGCUCCUUGGUGGCGAGUGGCGGACGGGUGAGUAACGCGUAGGAAUCUACCUUAUAGUGGGGGACAACCCGGGGAAACUCGGGCUAAUACCGCAUAAUGUCUAAGGAUCAAAGCAGGGGACCUUCGGGCCUUGCGCUAUAAGAUGAGCCUGCGUCGGAUUAGCUAGUUGGUGGGGUAAAGGCCUACCAAGGCGACGAUCCGUAGCUGGUCUGAUAGGACGGCCAGCCACACUGGGACUGAGACACGGCCCAGACUCCUACGGGAGGCAGAAGUGGGGAAUAUUGGACAAUGGGCGAAAGCCUGAUCCAGCAAUGCCGCGUGUGUGAAGAAGGCCUUCGGGUUGUAAAGCACUUUUAGUGGGGAAGAAAUACUCAAGACUAAUAUGCUUGAGUGCUGACGUUACCCACAGAAAAAGCACUGGCUAACUCUGUGCCAGCCGCCGCUGUAAUAC